rnacentral:rRNA from 1 species
AGGCUGCUCCUGGACGAGGAGACCCUGACGGAGGGCAAGAUCGAAGCGAUGGUGUCACAGUUCCUGGUGCAGGUCAAGGACGGGACGUGGGCGGAGCACGGGUGGCCCAAGGUGUGGACGGACUACGCCGUCUCCAAGCUGGCCCGCAACGCCUACACCCGCGUCCUGGCCCGGCGGCUGCAGUCUGGCGGCGAGCGCGUCAGCGUCAACUGCUCCUGCCCCGGGUUCACGCGGACCAACAUGACCAAGGGGUGGGGCAAGCGUACCGCCGAGGAGGUGGCCGACUUCGGCGCCCGGCUCGCGCUGCCCCCUCCGCAUUUAGUUUUAGAGUCGAGUUCGUGUACAUAG